rnacentral:lncRNA from 1 species
UGGGGUUGCCUGGGUCCCCUGCUUCCAGCAGGGUACGUGUGCGGUAGCACGGCUGCACCAAGUGCUGCGGAGACACAGCUGGCCUCCUAUGUCAACUAUGCCCGUGAAGGGAGCACCCAUUCGGGAUCCGGGGGCAGUGGCGGACCACCCGCAGAGUCUAGCCGCAGCGUGGACGGUGCCGAGGGCUCUCAAGAACUGACCGUGGAAGAGGAUGGCUUGGAGUAUCAGUACUCAGACAAAGGCUUGGUCUAACGCCUUAGCCUUCAUGAUGGAGCCAGAGGCAGCACUAGAUCAUCACAGGACUUCAUAAACUUGACACUGCUU